rnacentral:rRNA from 1 species
GCGGGAGGGCGCUUACCACUUUGUGAUUCAUGACUGGGGUGAAGUCGUAACAAGGUAACCGUAGGGGAACCUGCGGUUGGAUCACCUCCUUACCUUAAAGAA